UACGUAGGGCGCAAGCGUUAUCCGGAAUUAUUGGGCGUAAAGAGCUCGUAGGCGGCUUGUCGCGUCGACCGUGAAAACUUGGGGCUCAACCCCAAGCCUGCGGUCGAUACGGGCAGGCUAGAGUUCGGUAGGGGAGACUGGAAUUCCUGGUGUAGCGGUGAAAUGCGCAGAUAUCAGGAGGAACACCGGUGGCGAAGGCGGCGACCUGGUCCUUAUACUGACGCUGAGGCGCGAAAGCGUGGGGAGCAAACAGG
rnacentral:rRNA from 1 species